rnacentral:rRNA from 1 species
UUGGUUAAGUUAGAAAGGGCGCACGGUGGAUGCCUUGGCACUAGGAGCCGAAGAAGGACGGGACUAACACCGAUAUGCUUUGGGGAGCUGUACGUAAGCGUUGAUCCAGAGAUUUCCGAAUGGGGGAACCCACUAUCUUUAGUCGGAUAGUAUCCUUACGUGAAUACAUAGCGUGAGGAAGGCAGACCCAGGGAACUGAAACAUCUAAGUACCUGGAGGAAGAGAAAGAAAAAUCGAUUUCCUGAGUAGCGGCGAGCGAAACGGAAAGAGCCCAAACCAAGAAGCUUGCUUCUUGGGGUUGUAGGACACUCUAUACGGAGUUACAAAAGAAAGUUAUAAAUGAAGCGGUCUGGAAAGGCCCGCCAAAGACGGUAACAGCCCGGUAGUUGAAAUGGCUUUCCCUCCAGAGUGGAUCCUGAGUACGGCGGAACACGUGAAAUUCCGUCGGAAUCCGGGAGGACCAUCUCCCAAGGCUAAAUACUCCCUAGUGACCGAUAGUGAACCAGUACCGUGAGGGAAAGGUGAAAAGCACCCCGGAAGGGGAGUGAAACAGUUCCUGAAACCGUGUGCCUACAAGUAGUUAGAGCCCGUUAAUGGGUGAUAGCGUGCCUUUUGUAGAAUGAACCGGCGAGUUACGAUUUGUUGCAAGGUUAAGCGGAAAAAGCGGAGCCGUAGCGAAAGCGAGUCUGAAUAGGGCGCAUAAGUAACAGGUCGUAGACCCGAAACCAGGUGAUCUACCCAUGUCCAGGAUGAAGGUAAGGUAAUACUUACUGGAGGUCCGAACCCACGCACGUUGAAAAGUGCGGGGAUGAGGUGUGGGUAGCGGAGAAAUUCCAAUCGAACUUGGAGAUAGCUGGUUCUCUCCGAAAU